rnacentral:rRNA from 1 species
UACGUAGGGACCUAGCGUUGUCCGGAAUCAUUGGGCGUAAAGCGCGCGUAGGUGGCCCGGUAAGUCCGCUCUGAAAGUCACAGGCUCAACCUGUGAAAGCGGGUGGAUACUGCCGGGCUAGAGUCCGGAAGAGGCGAGUGGAAUUCCUGGUGUAGCGGUGAAAUGCGUAGAGAUCAGGAGGAACACCCGUGGCGAAGGCGGCUCCCUGGUCCGUUUCUGACGCUGAGACGCGAAAGCGCGGGGAGCGAACGGG